rnacentral:rRNA from 1 species
UACAGAGGGGGCAAGCGUUAUUCGGAAUUAUUGGGCGUAAAGGGCGCGUAGGCGGCGAUUCAAGUGACGGGUGAAAUCCCUCGGCUUAACCGAGGAACUGCCUGUCAGACUGGAUUGCUUGAGGCCGGGAGAGGCGAGUGGAAUUCCCAGUGUAGCGGUGAAAUGCGUAGAUAUUGGGAGGAACACCAGUGGCGAAGGCGGCUCGCUGGACCGGUUCUGACGCUGAGGCGCGAAAGCCAGGGGAGCGAACGGG